CUCACAGUGUGUUUUCUGUUAAAUCCACCUGCUUCCUGUGCACACAGUUUAGUCUCUGUUCCACAUCCUUUGUUAGGUUUAGUUCUGAUUGUUAUCCGGUUUUAUCACCUUGUUGUAUUUUAUCAUUUUGCUAUUAGUUGCUGUUUUUUGCUACCUCCAGGAUGUCUUAUGUUCUGUAGGUAUUCAGUUGUUGAUGUCUUUAAGUAUUAUUAUCCUUAUUUUGUGGGUGUGUUUAUUUAGUGAUAUUCUCUGUAUAGGUCCGUUUGGUCAUGUCUGGGUCUCCCGUGUUCCACCCCUGCAUCCUCACCUGUCAGUCUUGUUGUGUUUGUCUGUUGCACUCCUUCACAUGUUUGAGUUACACAUUGAUGUUCUGCUUUAAUUCUGGAUUGUGGUUGUGGUCGUUAUUAGCCCUUAUAGUCAUUGUGCACUGAUCACCUCCUCACAUUAUUAGGUUAGUGCCUUCACUCUUGCACUUUAUUAGCUCCUGAGUUCUAUGCUGGUUGGUGGUUUUAUGAUUUCUCCUCUUCUUCUGUUAUGGCUGGUUAUUGUAUUUUAUUUCCUUUUCACCUGUUAUUCAUUGUAUUAUCAUGAUUAUUCUUACACUAGUUUAUGUCUGUUCAGUUAUUUCAUCUCCCUGCACUCUGUUUCUCCCGCGUGAGUCUUAAGUUCCGCCCCUCGUUUGCCUCUCACCUGUUGUUAAUUUCACCUGUUAUUUAAGCACUUCCUUGUUU